AGGGCACCACCAGGAGUGGAGCCUGCGGCUUAAUUUGACUCAACGCGGGGAAACUCACCCGGCCCGGACACCGUAAGGAUUGACAGAUUGAGAGCUCUUUCUUGAUUCGGUGGGUGGUGGUGCAUGGCCGUUCUUAGUUGGUGGAGCGAUUUGUCUGGUUAAUUCCGAUAACGAACGAGACUCUAGCCAACUAAAUAGUGUGCGGAUCUUAGUUCGACACACUUCUUAGAGGGACAAGGGGUAUCUAGCCCCACGAGAUUGAGCAAUAACAGGUCUGUGAUGCCCUUAGAUGUCCGGGGCUGCACGCGCGCUACACUGAAGGAGUCAACAUGUAUUGUAACCUUGUCUGAAAAGACCGGGUAACCCAAUGAAACUCCUUCGUGAUUGGGAUAGGGCUUUGUAAUUAUCGCCCUUGAACGAGGAAUUCCUAGUAAGUGCGGGUCAUCAUCUCGCGUUGAUUACGUCCCUGCCCUUUGUACACACCGCCCGUCGCUACUACCGAUUGGAUGAUCUAGUGAG
rnacentral:rRNA from 1 species